CACGUAGGGACCAAGCGUUGUCCGGAUUCAUUGGGCGUAAAGAGCUCGUAGGCGGUUCGGUAAGUCGGGUGUGAAACCUCCAGGCUCAACCUGGAGACGCCACCCGAUACUGCUGUGACUAGAGUCCAGUAGGGGAGCGUGGAAUUCCUGGUGUAGCGGUGAAAUGCGCAGAUAUCAGGAGGAACACCGGUGGCGAAGGCGGGUCUCUGGGCCGUAACUGACGCUGAGGAGCGAAAGCAUGGGGAGCGAACAGG
rnacentral:rRNA from 1 species